AUGAACAGGAUCCUGUUUCGAACAUGGCCGGUCGAACACAAGGCCGUUUCCUCCGUUCUGCUAUACGCCAGGCCUCGUUUAAAUCGCCUGUUCCGUCCAAGCCCUCCCGAUGAACAUGACGACGCAUUCUGUUCCGACCCAGCCGGUUGGCUCCCCAUGAACACGACGACGACGCUGUUUCUCCGUUCCGACCCAGCCAUGUACACGAGCCCUGGCCGUACGUAUGCGCGAGUAGGCAUUCGAGACCUCGCCCAUAUGUACAUAUACAUGGCCGUAUUUUCUUUCUUGCACACUGGCCGCUGCACGUACGUGUACAUGCUACGUGUGCGCCUCUACUACGACACGUACGCGCCUCUACUACGACAUGUGCGCGCCUCUACUAUGACACAUGCACGCCUCUACAUCCACCAGUAUGUACGUACACGUUCGCGACCAGAAUGA
rnacentral:rRNA from 1 species